GACGAACGCUGGCGGCGUGCUUAACACAUGCCAGUCGAACGGAAAGGCCCUGCUUGCAGGGUGCUCGAGUGGCGAACGGGUGAGUAACACGUGGGUGAUCUGCCCCUUACUUUGGGAUAAGCCUGGGAAACUGGGUCUAAUACUGGAUAGGACCAUGCUGUAGGUGGUGUGGUGGAAAGAUUAGUUUCGGUAAGGGAUGAGCUCGCGGCCUAUCAGCUUGUUGGUGGGGUAAUGGCCUACCAAGGCGUCGACGGGUAGCCGGCCGGAGAGGGUGGACGGCCACAUUGGGACUGAGAUACGGCCCAGACUCCUACGGGAGGCAGCAGUGGGGAAUAUUGCACAAUGGGCGCAAGCCUGAUGCAGCGACGCCGCGUGGGGGAUGACGGCCUUCGGGUUGUAAACUCCUUUCAGCCAUGACGAAGCCCUUGUGGUGACGGUAGUGGUAGAAGAAGCACCGGCUAACUACGUG
rnacentral:rRNA from 1 species